GAGUGGCGAACUGGUNAGUAACACGUGGGUAACCUGCCCCGAAGCGGGGGAUAACAUUUGGAAACAAAUGCUAAUACCGCAUAAUUAGUCAGAACCGCAUGGUUCCGACUUGAAAGAUGGCUCUGCUAUCACUUCGGGAUGGACCCGCGCCGUAUUAGUUAGUUGGUGAGAUAAAAGCCCACCAAGACGAUGAUACGUAGCCGACCUGAGAGGGUAAUCGGCCACAUUGGGACUGAGACACGGCCCAGACUCCUACGGGAGGCAGCAGUAGGGAAUCUUCCACAAUGGACGAAAGUCUGAUGGAGCAACGCCGCGUGAGUGAUGAAGGGUUUCGGCUCGUAAAACUCUGUUGUUAAAGAAGAACAAGCAUGAGAGUAACUGUUCAUGCUUUGACGGUAUUUAACCAGAAAGCCACGGCUAACUACGUGCCAGCAGCCGCGGUAAUACGUAGGUGGCAAGCGUUGUCCGGAUUUAUUGGGCGUAAAGCGAGCGCAGGCGGUUUUGUAAGUCUGCUGUGAAAGCCCUCAGCUCAACUGAGGAAGUGCAGUGGAAACUACAAAACUUGAGUACAGAAGAGGAAAGUGGAACUCCAUGUGUAGCGGUGAAAUGCGUA
rnacentral:rRNA from 2 species